CAACUAUGUUCUUCUGUGGGUCUUUUGUAUAUAGUAUGCACGCAUCCAUUCAUUAUUUGAGCUACUCACCCUCACAAGGGUUGCAGGAAUGCCGGAGCCUAUCCCAGCUAUCAUCAGGUUAGGUUGUGGGAGAAGUAGCUCCAGCAGGGAUACCCAGACUUCCCUUUCCCCAGCUCUUCCGGAAGGAUCCCGAAGCGUUCCCAAGCUAGCCUAGAGACAAAGUCUGUCCAGCGUGUCAUUCAUAGGCAAUGCAGGGCUAAGCGUCUCUCCGAGGGACGCAAUGAUAUCAUGCACUCAGGAACGUGGGAGGCAGCAGGAAUACUUGGAAAGACUCGCAAAACCAUGAAGAGGACAUACAAAUUCCACACAGAAGUGCCAGGGUCAAAAUGUGAACCUGGACUUCUUGACUGCGAGGGAGAUAUGCUAACUACUUGUCUAGCCGCGGAAGGGGCUCCUCAGGAAACUCAAAAGUGGACUAUAGGUCGGCCUCUCUCCUAGCCUGGCAUAUUCUGUGAUGGCUUUCUCAAAUGAAGCAUGGAUGCUCGGCAACUUUGGAGCACAUCCGUGGCCGGGCCGAUUCCAGAGGUGGCAAAAGUACUGGGGAGCCAAGUCUGCGUGAAGCUGCCGAAGAGUGCCUGGUUUUCCUCGCAGACUUAAAUGACAUCUCCAAACAAAACACCCCUCAUUUCAAAACAAAGACCGAGAGUAUUUUGUUCAACUGUGUGAACAGACCGGGAAACAAGCAUCUGUUGAGGAAAACCACCGAGGGAAUUGAGAGGCCUCUCAAAGUCAGCUAGCAGGUUGCCGAAACUUCAUCGCCAAAUCCAAACAGUCAGUCGUGUUUGCGAGACAAAAAAAUACCACACGCCUUGUGAAAUCAUCCGAAAUGAGACGCUUGGCCCUGGCGCUCAUAAAGAAAUCCCAGAAGUAGCCGACGUUUUCCGCAACCUAUUUAUGCGAGCGGCGCUCUUCAAGCAUGACAACUGCCAUAAAAAAAAAUAAUUACACUUUUUUUUUCCUCUGAGUUUUUGCGGCUCUGCUUUCCAUUGCUGCAAUUAUAUCUCAUCAGUUCUUGAAGUUACGUGUUAGGCUGCACGGUGGCUCAGCUGGAAAGCAUUGGCCUCACAUUUCUGAGGUCCCAGGUUCAAUCCCAGCCCCGCCUUUGGAUGGCCAGAUGAUGAUUUGACCAUCGCUGGGCCUCUGGACUAUCCUGUAUGUACUUUGUUCAUCUAAAUCAGAGCUCCUCUGGGUGUAAUUCUCUGCUGGGUCCUUGCUCGCUACAAGAGCCGGAGCAGAUGGUUUGGUAUUGACUUGCAAGGAAGUCCUCCCUCCCCCUCCCCACACUACCACCACUACCGCUCGUGGGGGGGACAGGGUGUGUGUGUGUGUGUGUGUGUG